UGAGCUCUUUCUGUCGCCCGCACGACCGCCACGGACUCCUGCUGCCAAACCGCUAAAAAGGAAGAGAAAAACAUGGAUCCACACGAAGCUAUUGGAAAUGCAUUUAAACAUGCAUUGAACAGUAUGCGGUGUGAAUUGGAACCAGCAGUCCAGAUAUUUCACCGCACCUGCAAUGCUUCUUAUGGAAACAUGUUACCUCUUUCAAUCUACAUGCAAGAUAUUUGUCAAAGAUUACAAAAAAACGACAAAAACUACAGAAAAUGUAUUAUAAGCAUUUACGAUCUUAUUAAUAAUAUUCCUAUAACACAUAAGUUAGUUUCCGCCAUAGCUGAGAAAGUUACUGAGAAUGAAAUAUCAGUAGAAGAGGCAGAUACAUUCUUCAAGACAAAGAUAGCUGACAUUAAGCAAUCAUUGACCAGAACCAUCGUGGUUCAUGAAAACCUUCUUAAAGAAUACAAUCGGACAACCAAGCGUGUUACUGAACGGCGCAACAGAGAUGCACACGUUGCCAAAGAAGCAGCAGAAGAAACAAUGGCGAAAAUAUCAACAACUGUUGCAGCAUACCUAUCAGCGACAUGUGAUACCUUAAUAACCGUCGCGAACAUAUUCGGAGGGGGAAUCCUCGACGAGGCCGACGUCCCGUAUAAUAACGAGGUUUUAGAUGAAAAGGAUCAGGCGUUUUCAAAAUGUAUUCAACACAUGGAAAACCAAACAACAGACAUUUUAACGGUGCUGGAAGCCCUUCGUAAAGUGCGUGACUCCUUCAGAAACCUGUGAAAAAAUAAUCUACAAACAACCUUGUUGAGAUUGUGUAUGAAGUCGAAAAAAACCUCACUGCGCAAAUAUCAAAAAGGAUACCGGAGUUUUGAACGAAAUACCUUAUAAGAAAGAAAGUAAUAAAUGUUUAAAGACUAAUAAAACUACUGGUGCAGAAAGAUGCACUUUUUGAGCGCCCAUGGCUACAACUGAUAUACUCAGAGGCGAAGGUUUCAAUUUUACUCUGCAGAUCAUAGCGAGUCAAAUGUUUUGACGAUUCGCAGCUUUUAAGGAAAUAAUUUAGAACUUCAAGUUUUGUAUAUUGUGGGGGUAUUCUCGAAAUAAAAAAAAUCAGUGGCGCAAGCCUCCUGUCAUGACAAUUUACGUAUCGUUAUCUGUAUGAAACUGUCCAAGGCUAUGAACACAUCCUCUGCAUCGUGCAAUCCAUAUGUUCAAAUGCUCUUUUGAACAUCAGAAUAAUAAUAUUUAUCCUGGAGGAAUCCGAUGAGCGAUGAAGCCCUUUUUCACAGAUGUCCAGUAGGCGAGGGUCAGAUAGUUAUAACACAUAUAGGAAAGGUAAGCAAGUCAAUAAAUGUUUAAAAAGAUCAGCAUAUACGUUUCAAUUGCAUAAGUACAUCAAUUCCUUCCGAUUUUUCAACACUAAAUGCAAGCUUGGGCAAGGUCGCAAAAAAAAAGUCCCAGGCCCCACCAAGACAUCACACAGUCCCUCAAUAAAAUUGCACAUUCAAAUGUAGCUAUCCAUACAUACUCUUUAGUUCUUUCGGUAAAGUCACGUAGGUAGAAAAAUUAAAUAAAAAUAACAAAAUACAUCACGGCGUUUCGAUCGCAACGCAAGCGAUCGUCUUCAGGCGAAAAAAUCCAGCAGUGGAACUGCUGAACCAGAAAGAACACAGCGAGAGAGUUGCUACAACAAGGGGUUAUAUAUGUUUGAUGGUGGGUGCAGCCCAAGGGCAUGCAAGCGGAGUCCGAACUGGAAAGGCGUCCCAUCCCCGCACGCAAGGACAUCAGUUGUGUUAAUGGGGAGAUUAGGGAGAGAUAUUAGGGAGAGAGAUUAGCAUGUCAAAGUAAAUUAGCUACCGUCGCCGCACAUGCGCACAACAGCAAAAUGUUAAUGGGAGAUUAGCACUAUGCUAAUGGUAGAGAUUAAGGAGAGAUUAGGGAGAUUAGCAAGUUAAUGUCAUGUCUAUGUGUAACACAAGCUGCGACGCUGGCCACUGAGCUGUGAGAGGCAAGCGCGUCAACGUAAGAGAACCACCG